GGGGGAGGCGGAGGGGCAGGGCCGGGGCUGGGAGGGGCCGGGGGAGCCUUAUGGAAGCCAGACCUGAGGGAAAGAGCCGAGGGAGGAGCCGCUAUUGAAAGAGAAGGCGGGGCUGAGGGCGGGGCUUCAGGAGACGAGGCGGAGCUGGGAGAAAGGUGGGGGAGGAGCUGGGGGAAAGGGAGGGAGGAGGAGGAGGGGCUAGGCGCCUGGUGCGCGGUGACCUCAGAGGCAGCAGUCAAGGUGCAGUCGCAGCGUCCUUGGCGACCUAACUGACCCUCCGAAGGUACCCUGGGGGACGCGGAGGCCGGGAGAGGGCGGCACCUCUAGGCUGAGUCCUGUGCCCGGAGAGUCAGGGUCUCCUUCUUCCAGGCCACCGCGGGCGUGCCUGGGCGUCCUGAGGGGCAGUCGUGAUAUGGGCUUUGUUUGCAGAUUCCUCCUCUGGCCCUCGGGGGCUGCUCUCCUCCUCCCUUUGCAGGCCUGCUCUGCACUCAGCGUUCACCUAGACUCUGGAAGUGUAAGUGAUCCCAAAGGUCAGGGAGUGUCCACUGCCCCUCCAGCUGGAGGCUGCCCUCUACCCGCAGGCCCCACCACCUGGGAGGAGUGGUCCCCGAGGAGGAGGUGCCCUUGCGUCCAGCACUCUGCCCCUGAGAAUGGGCUCCUUCUCAUCCCUGUGAUUCCCUCUGUCACCGCUUGGCUGUAGUUCCGUGUCCUGACCUUACUGAAGAGGAGGCCCGGCAGCCGUGCAGUAGCAAGAGGACAGCGAGCCUUGUUUCUUUGGCCCCAGUCUCCCUUUUCCUCCCAAUCCUCAGGUGGCCUGAUUCCAACAGGCAGACUCCACUGCCCUCCUUGCUCCCUGUCCCCCAGGUAGCUCCAGUUGGGUGGGUCCCUCUCAGUAUGGCCCAGAUCACGUGGUCCAAACUGAGAACUGUACUUAUUUCUGCCUUUGUGUAGUGACGCUCCAAGUCCACAGGAGGAAGCUGCAUCACAAGGCACCUGCAGUCACCCACGAGCUACUUUGCCACCACUGCUUAGGUGUGGUGCCUGCACACAUAGGGUGGCCUGGUUGAGUUGGUACUUUGGGAGUUUCUGUGAACAUCUGGCAACCUCCUCACUUGCAUUCAUAUCACAAGCCAGAAUAGCACCGUCAGUUGGGGGCGGAUCAGUGCUCAUUUCCAUGUUUCCAUCUCCUGAGUCUCAGUAACAUCUUCUUUACUGUCCUCAGUCUCUGAGCAAACAAGCAAUGACCCCCGCGCCAGGCCCUCCACAGCUUGAGGGACGGCAUCCAAACGUCACACUGUGGCUGAGUGACACUGUGUGGUCCAGCUUAUUUGUUUAUGAGAUUCAGGUGUGGGAGAUCUG
rnacentral:lncRNA from 1 species